UACGUAGGGGGCAAGCGUUGUCCGGAUUUAUUGGGCGUAAAGAGCGUGUAGGCGGCCAUGUAGGUCCGUUGUGAAAACUCGAGGCUCAACCUCGAGACGCCGACGGAAACCAUGUGGCUAGAGUCCGGAAGAGGAGAGUGGAAUUCCUGGUGUAGCGGUGAAAUGCGUAGAUAUUGGGAGGAACACCAGUGGCGAAGGCGGCUCACUGGACCGGUACUGACGCUGAUGCGCGAAAGCGUGGGGAGCAAACGGG
rnacentral:rRNA from 1 species